rnacentral:lncRNA from 1 species
CUCCUGUCGUUAAGAUAAAUUCUCCAGUAGACAACCUCUCCCACUAAUUGUGUAUUAGCAACGUAUUUUAUCUUGAGAGCUUGUACACUGGGCUCUCAACGUGGUGUGGAAGGUAGCCUGUUACAGUGCUGGAUUCAUAAAAGGGCCUUUAUGGUUUGUGAAAGAAUAUCUGUGUGCUUAGGGAGGAAACUUUUUGAUCUGCAGAAAAGCCAGAAGACAUCUAGGACAUCCAUAAAAAUUCAUCAGAGAGCAUUUUACUACUGAGCUGCAAAGGGAAAAACUUAAAAUGGAUAUGAAAAGUGAAGAAAGUGAUCAUAGGAGAAAACCAUUUCAGGUGUCUGAUGAUUUGUGAGCCUCAAGUGACUACUCUGUGGAAUCAUCUGUCCUUGCCUUUGAAUUAGCUUUCCCUAGGCCAUGAGUCAACAUUAGUAGUUUAUACAUCCAAAUUGAUGACAAGAGCACCUCAAAGGCAGCAGCCUCAAGGAGCAGCCAUGGCCCCAGACUUGUCGCACGGAUGCAGAAAACUUAAUGGAGGAGGCUGAGGUCAGAAUGGGAAGAG